rnacentral:rRNA from 1 species
CGCUGGCGGCAUGCCUUACACAUGCGUCUUCGGAUGCUGACGAGUGGCGAACGGGUGAGUAAUACAUCGGAACGUGCCCGAUCGUGGGGGAUAACGAAGCGAAAGCUUUGCUAAUACCGCAUAMGAUCUACGGAUGAAAGCAGGGGAYCGCAAGGCCUUGCGCGAACGGAGCGGCCGAUGGCAGAUUAGGUAGUUGGUGGGAUAAAAGCUUACCAAGCCGACGAUCUGUAGCUGGUCUGAGAGGACGACCAGCCACACUGGGACUGAGACACGGCCCAGACUCCUACGGGAGGCAGCAGUGGGGAAUUUUGGACAAUGGGCGAAAGCCUGAUCCAGCCAUGCCGCGUGCAGGAUGAAGGCCUUCGGGUUGUAAACUGCUUUUGUACGGAACGAAAAGACUCUGGUUAAUACCUGGGGUCCAUGACGGUACCGUAAGAAUAAGCACCGGCUAA